rnacentral:lncRNA from 1 species
UAACACAAUAAACUCAUUUAUUAUGUUAAUCCAGCUCAUUCACAUCUUAAUUACCUUAAUAACCUUCAUUGUGAAAUAUCUCCUCCGUCCACUUGAUGUCUUUUUUCUAGAGUUAUUAAUAAACAAAAUGAGUUUUAACUUUGUGGUUUUAUUGCUCAGAUUUGUGGUGUUUUAAUCUACACAAACCUUUUCUCAUUUAUUUUUGAUUAGUUUUUGUUUCUCUGUGAAUUUUUUAACUCGGAAUGAUUGAAGUAAUUUAUAAAAAUCUCCAAUACAAAAAACACAUGCUGUUAGACUGAGGACACUUUGUUGAAAACUGAGAUAACAUACUGUUUGAAACUUUAUCAUCAAGUUUACUCCUUUGAAAAAAAAAAAAAUACAGUAAUAUACAGCAGGUACUCUCUGAAACACUGCAAUUAUCCUAGAGAAAAUUUCAAACCUGUAAAUGAGAGCAACCCAAACUGUGAAGGACAAAUGUUGAAUAAAUAACUUAUCGCUGGUCUCAGGGAAUCAUGGGUUAUAAAAGUUCAGUUCUUCUUCACCUGUAUGUGAACUCUUGUUCUAUAUAUAUAUAUAUAUAUAUAUAUAUAUAUAUAUAUAUAUAUAUAAGGAUAUAAGGAAACAUGAAUUAAGACCUGUGAAAAAGAAAUUUAGACCAGUGUAAAAGAGUUUCAGACUAAAGUUAGAGUUUAAGACUAAAGUUAAAGAAUUUUAGACUAAAUUUAGAGUUUUAGACUAAAGUUAAACAGUUUCAGACUAAAAUAAAAGAGUUUUAGACUAAAGUUAGAGUUUCAGAGUAAAGUUUAAAAGUGUCAGAUUAAUGUUAAAUAGUUUCAGAGUAAAGUUAAAGGGCUCUAUUUUUGUGCCUCGCCGGAGACGUGCCACAAGCGCAGCGUCAGUCAGAUCCGCCACGCUGACAAGGCGUUCCCAAGCACAUUUUGGUAUUUUGGUGAGCCGCGCAGCCCGGCGUAAGUAUCCCCCCUCCCUAACUCAGCUCCUCCCAGCAGCAUAAGUCGUAGACGGGGAGGAGAGAGGGCGUGGAGUGGGUUUAACACAGCCGAGACCUGUUUUCACCAAUCACAUAAGCUCCGCUCCUUGCCUUUAAAUCCGCCACAGGCGAGGCGUAUUACUAUUUUCAUAAAGUAGUCAAAGAGAUCAAGAGAUGUCUUAAGACAGUAAUGCCACAAGAUAGCGACAGAGGGCAGCUCCUCAACAAGUGUCCUCCACACUCUCUCAUAUGAGCACAGAUGGAUUUGGUGUGUGUAAUGUUGGACCCAGUGGUAAGACAAACACCCUUUUCCACAAAUAAAGACACUCACAUAAAGUUGCUCAUAUUCAAACCUCACGUGACAAAGGUGGGUUGAGCGCACAGAUCACAACAUAAACUCCAAAAAUGGCAUUAAAAUCGGAACCAUCUGUGCAUAAAUGACGCAUCGCGCUCUGUGGCCUGGCUCUUUCUUUCAUAGAUGUUGGCAUAUAAAAUAAAUUUGGCUCACAAAACUGAAUAUUAUAAUAUCCGUAUGUCGGCUUAAAGUAGAUAACGCAUCUGAGCACUGAAACAAAUCAUCUGUUCAGCCGCAGCAGCAGCAAGACGGACAGAGGACACAGAGACGUGUCCAGGUCGAGCUGUGCGAGAAAUGUGAGGAAGAGGAAGAAAGAAAAGGAGGGAGACGAAUUACAUAUCUUGUUAACUUCAUCAUGUGUGUUUAUUUACUAGAUAUUUAAUUUGAUGCGGUUUCAGCUGUGUUGAUUCGGUCAGGUUGUGUGUCCAAACGUGUGCCAAACGCGCUCAUCAGAUCAGAUAUAGAUCAGAAUAUAUCUAUAUAGAUCUAAAUGUAUGUGCUGACUCAGAUUAAUAGUUGUUGAUGAUUAUUUAUUGCACUGAAAUGUGCCUGACACUGUGGAAACCUGCCGGUGAGGCAUCAGUGACGUAUGUCGAUACGCCUCAGAUCUACCAAAAUACUACUAGACCAGCUGCGCUCCGCCAUGCGCUGAAAGCUGACCAGGUUUGAAUCGGCGAGCUUUCAGCGCACUUUACACGCCGGUGGCGAGCACGAAAAUGUCACUGUGCCUGCUGAUUCUGUUGACACCUCCCCCUGCCACGCCACCACGCCCAGCUUGGCGGAUCUCGGCUCGCCUCCGUGCGGCUCAGGCCACGAAAAUACCAAACCGGCCUUACGCUGGGCUCCGCCAGACGAAAAUACAACUGUGCGGGGCUCGCCCCCCUCCGCCGCCUCACCGGCGCGCACGAAAAUAGAGCCCAAAGAGUUUCAACUCAGUGUAAAAUGUUUUCAUGAGAAAAAAUGUUAAAAAGGUUCUAAUUUAUUUUAAACAUUGUUUCUACAGGAGUCAGCUAAACACCAAAAGAUUUCUGCAUUAGACCCAAUAAUCCUCCUCUUCACCUCCUCUUUCUUCAUUUAUACCUCCUUUUCACCUCCUCCUCUA